GAUGAACGCUGGCGGCGUGCCUAAUACAUGCAAGUCGAGCGAACAGACGAGGAGCUUGCUCCUCUGACGUUAGCGGCGGACGGGUGAGUAGCACGUGGAUAACCUACCUAUAAGACUGGGAUAACUUCGGGAAACCGGAGCUAAUACCGGAUAAUAUAUUGAACCGCAUGGUUCGAUAGUGAAAGACGGUUUUGCUGUCACUUAUAGAUGGAUCCGCGCCGCAUUAGCUAGUUGGUAAGGUAACGGCUUACCAAGGCAACGAUGCGUAGCCGACCUGAGAGGGUGAUCGGCCACACUGGAACUGAGACACGGUCCAGACUCCUACGGGAGGCAGCAGUAGGGAAUCUUCCGCAAUGGGCGAAAGCCUGACGGAGCAACGCCGCGUGAGUGAUGAAGGUCUUCGGAUCGUAAAACUCUGUUAUUAGGGAAGAACAAAUGUGUAAGUAACUAUGCACGUCUUGACGGUACCUAAUCAGAAAGCCACGGCUAACUACGUG
rnacentral:rRNA from 1 species